rnacentral:rRNA from 1 species
GACGAACGCUGGCGGCGUGCUUAACACAUGCAAGUCGAACGGAAAGGCCCUGCUUUUGUGGGGUGCUCGAGUUGCGAACGGGUGAGUAACACGUGAGUAACCUGCCCUUGACUUUGGGAUAACUUCAUGAAACUGGGGCUAAUACCGGAUAGGAGCUCCUGCUGCAUGGUGGGGGUUGGAAAGUUUCGGCGGUUGGGGAUGGACUGGCGGCUUAUCAGCUUGUUGGUGGGGUAGUGGCUUACCAAGGCUUUGACGGGUAGCCGGCCUGAGAGGGUGACCGGCCACAUUGGGACUGAGCUACGGCCCAGACUCAUCCGGGAGGCAGCAGUGGGGAAUAUUGCCCUAUGGGCGGAAGCCUAAUGCAGCAACGCCGCGUGCGGGGUGACGGCCUUCGGGUUGUAAACCGCUUUCGCCUGUGACGAAGCGUGAGUGACGGUAAUGGGUAAAGAAGCACCGGCUAACUACGUG